GCCAAACAGGGAUGGUGCCCACACCGAGGCUAUCAAGGAGUGAAUGGGACGAGGGUGGAGAGAGGAUGGCGAGGUUUCCCCAAACUCUCAGCCUGACUGCCUGAGCACUCAGGAGCGAUCAUUGAGACUGCCUGCAAGUCUCCGUGUUGGCCUGAUUCAUCUGCACAGAGUGUUUUUCAUCUAGCCGACUUUGGGCAUACUAGCGAGGCUUGGAAACGAUGUCAAUGCCAACCUCUACUAAAACCGUAUCGGGUGAAAAUUAAUGGAGACAAGUAUGGAAUCAUUAUCAACACAGUCGUUACUCAGGGAGGGUUCCCUUCUGCAGCUGCAACAUGAACGCAAGGAACGGACACUAAUUGCAACAGGUCAUGCCGCAAGUUGGGAAACUGGUGAUCCUCCGAGAGGAUCAUGAAACAGAUUACGGAGUUUAGAAUGAUAUAAAGUUCAUUAACACCUGUAAUGAAUAUAAAACAACAAUACCAGGUGAGAUCGGUUUGAAUUUAACAGACAUAGGUACGUACAUACCGAACAUACAGUACGACAGGUAAGAUACAGCUCUGGUAAAUAUGAAAAUAUGAUACAGAACUAGAGAUACAGAUGGG
rnacentral:sRNA from 1 species